rnacentral:rRNA from 1 species
AGGGGUCGAAUCAGGCCACUACUGGAACUGUAGACCCCGGUGCCAUACUCCUACCGGGUAGCAGCAGUAGUGGGAAUCGUGCACUGCAAUGGGGCCGAAAGCCUGAUCGAGCAUCGCCGUCGUGAUGAUGAAGGUCUUCGGAUCGUCGAAACUCUGUUAUUAUGGGAAGAUACAUAUGGUGUAAGUAACUGUGCACAUCUUGACGGUACCUUAUCAGAAGCCACGGCUAACUACGUGCCAGCAGCCACGGUAAUACGUAGGUGGCAAGCGUUAUCCGGAAUUAUUGGGCGUAAAGCGCGCGUAGGCGGUUUUUUAAGUCUGAUGUGAAAGCCCACGGCUCAACCGUGGAGGGUCAUUGGAAACUGGAAAACUUGAGUGCAGAAGAGGAGAGUGGAAUUCCAUGUGUAGCGGUGAAAUGCGCAGAGAUAUGGAGGAACACCAGUGGCGAAGGCGACUUUCUGGUCUGUAACUGACGCUGAUGUGCGAAAGCGUGGGGAUCAAACAGGAUUAGAUACCCUGGUAGUCCACGCCGUAAACGAUGAGUGCUAAGUGUUAGGGGGUUUCCGCCCCUUAGUGCUGCAGCUACGCAUUAAGCGCUCCGCCUGGGGAGUACGACCGCAAGUGAA